GACGAACGCUGGCGGCGUGCUUAACACAUGCAAGUCGAACGGAAAGGCCCUGCUUUUGUGGGGUGCUCGAGUGGCGAACGGGUGAGUAACACGUGAGUAACCUGCCCUUGACCUUGGGAUAACUUCAGGAAACUGGGGCUAAUACCGGAUAGGAGCUCCUGCUGCAUGGUGGGGGUUGGAAAGUUUCGGCGGUUGGGGAUGGACUCGCGGCUUAUCAGCUUGUUGGUGGGGUAGUGGCUUACCAAGGCUUUGACGGGUAGCCGGCCUGAGAGGGUGACCGGCCACAUUGGGACUGAGAUACGGCCCAGACUCCUACGGGAGGCAGCAGUGGGGAAUAUUGCACAAUGGGCGGAAGCCUGAUGCAGCAACGCCGCGUGCGGGAUGACGGCCUUCGGGUUGUAAACCGCUUUCGCCUGUGACGAAGCGUGAGUGACGGUAAUGGGUAAAGAAGCACCGGCUAACUACGAG
rnacentral:rRNA from 1 species